GACAGCGUUCGACCACCCCCAACCUGGUAGAGUUUUACAAGGAAGUCCGUUGGUCUAGAAAGAACAACGCAUUUGUGACAGAGACGACAGGCGAGCUUUAUACACAAAUGGCUGAGAAAAUGCAUGAUAUGGAACCUGAGCAACGUAGUGAAGAGGCAACAGCUUCUGUAUUUAGGGAUGUCCUGGGACAUAGACCCGGAUAUGCUAGGGGGCUAGGUGAGAUGAUAAUACCGGACUCUACAAAAAAAAUAGAUCUUGAACGGGAGAAACGUCAUGCUGAAGAAGUGGACAGACACAAAAAAGAGGCCGAGUAUUACAAGAGUGAGUUUGAGGAAUUGAAGGGAAGCAUUCGACUUCUGAUGGAGAGGCAGGUUGAGUUUGACAAGACAUUGGGUAGUUUAGUGAACACAAUUAGGUCACAAGAUGAGUCUCAUAGAGAGACUCAUGGUGACUAUCAUUGGUACUGAUGUGAAUGAAUGCUUUUUUGUGGUGGUUUUUUGUGUAAAUGGUGGCAGGUGGUUUUUUUGGAGAAUGGGGUAAUAAUUUUGGGUGGUGAGCAGGAUAUCUAAGGCAGUGCAUUAAGUAGUUAUGAUAUAUAAGUAAAUAUUUUGUGAUCAAUAUAUUUUGGAGGACUUGUAAGCAACCAAGAAGGCACUAUGAUGGGAACUUGGUUGGAGUUGUAAUUCUGCACAUGGACUGGGAGCAACAUACAUAUAGGCAAUGGUGAUGCAAAGUUACUAGUAGUAUUUAACACCUAUAGUUGAGAGAAUGGUGCAGUAUAACUUUGCCCAAAAAAAGGCUGCAGCUUGGGCAGUGGUUUAGCACAAG